rnacentral:rRNA from 1 species
UACGAAGGGGGCUAGCGUUGCUCGGAAUCACUGGGCGUAAAGGGUGCGUAGGCGGGUCUUUAAGUCAGGGGUGAAAUCCUGGAGCUCAGCUCCAGAACUGCCUUUGAUACUGAGGAUCUUGAGUUCGGGAGAGGUGAGUGGAACUGCGAGUGUAGAGGUGAAAUUCGUAGAUAUUCGCAAGAACACCAGUGGCGAAGGCGGCUCACUGGCCCGAUGCUGACGCUGAGGCACGAAAGCGUGGGGAGCAAACAGG